AUUAGUAUAGCAAAAAGCGUCCACAUAGGUCCUUUUUUUGUUUGGCACCAGAUGGUACCUUCCAAGGCUUUUGCUGACCCUGCUUGCUGACAAAUUUAGCGAAAACUGUCGAUCUGAAUUUUCAUUACGCCUGGUUGUAACAAGAGCAUUGUCCCUACUUCUAAUCAUGCACUGGGGUAGAAAAUUAACAUGAGAUAGUACCACAAAUAAAUUGUGGUCAAAUUUUGUAAACAGAUCGCAGUUUCAGAUUCAAAUUUCAGUGAACUUGGGUAAAAAAUAGAUAUGUUAUAAGCUCAAGGAGUUCAUUCGGAAGAUCGGUGUUUAUGGCAACUAUAUAUCCAAUUUGGACCAUAUUUACUAGUGAUGUAGAAGUUUCUAAUAUAAGUCAUGAUUCUAAAUUUCAACAAUUUUGGAUGUUAAAAGUUUCUUGUAUGACUGUAUGAGACUGUUAUGAGACUACAUCAAUGUACAUUCUUACAUAUAGAGUCCAACUUCGAAAUAAUCUUAAAGAUGUUUCAGCUAGAUAGCUUCAUAUUUAAAAUUGAAAAGUGAUAACAACCGACAGACAUACGGACAUCGCUAAAUCGUCGUUGAUUUUUAAGACGAUAAGAAUAUUUUCACUAUAUAUGGCCGACGGUGUAUACUGCGGCUGCCCUAGUAAAAGAAGUUGAAAAUUCGAAACAAAAUUGAACUCAAAUUGUAUCUAAUAAGAUAUAAUUUGAUCCAAAUAUAUCAGAUAUAUAAUUGGAUCUGAUGAUAUAAAUUUUUUACUCGGUUGUUUACGAAGUAAAUGUAGUGGAGUAAAUGUUCUUACUCGUCUGCAAAGUUUUACUGGAAAAUAAGACGAACACACCUACUGCCCAUUUAUAAACAUAAGUUUUUUGUGUUGAUUGAUCGGUCAUUCUUUUUUAAUUUUUGCUUUUAAUGGUUCUACUGCUAAGGAUUCGAAGGCAAUAACUUCACAGAAUACCACGAAAUUCGCCUUCGGCUACGACUGCUGUUGAUUUUCACCUUCGAAAGCCGGAAUAAGAUGCAGCUCAUUCUGACAAAGAUGUACAAAAUAGAUGCAUCUCAUAACGACAAAGAUGUACAAAAUAUCAUCACCCAUGAUAUAUAGAAGGCGAAACCCCGUUCAUGACUGAUUCGCCAAAGACUACCCCAUCUUAAAUGAAUUAACUUUAUUUCGAAAAAUAUUCUCAUUGUUCGCAACAUAAAGAUCUCAUUUUGGACUUAUGAUUUAAUGGAUUUUGAAAAUCAAAAAUAACUUAGACAUCAGUCAGUACUUAUAGAUACUCAAACUUUUUAAGUGUUAUUUUUCAACAUUUUUGUGUUGUAUACAAUCGAAUUAAAAAUUUAAAAAAACAUCUUAAUUUUGUUUUUUUUAUUGAUUGUUACAAACGAAACUAAUGUACA